rnacentral:rRNA from 1 species
GACGAACGCUGGCGGCGCGCUUAACACAUGCAAGUCGAGCGAGAACCCUCCUUCGGGAGGGGAAGCGGCGAACGGGUGAGUAACACGUGGGUAAUCAACCCUCGGUACCGGGAUAGCCCGAGGAAACUCGGAUUAAUACCGGAUGGCCCAACAGCUUUUCGGGGCGGUUGGGAAAGGUAGCUUCGGCCUCCGACCGAGGACGAGCCCGCGGCGGAUUAGCUUGUUGGUGGGGUAACGCCUACCAAGGCGACGAUCCGUAGCUGGCUGAGAGGACGAUCAGCCACACUGGGACUGAGACACGGCCCAGACUCCUACGGGAGGCAGCAGUGGGGAAUCUUGCGCAAUGGGCGAAAGCCUGACGCAGCGACGCCGCGUGA